rnacentral:rRNA from 1 species
UACCAACCCGAUGCAAACUGCGAAUACCGGAGAAUGUUAUCACGGGAGACACACGGCGGGUGCUAACGUCCGUCGUGAAGAGGGAAACAACCCAGACCGCCAGCUAAGGUCCCAAAGUCAUGGUUAAGUGGGAAACGAUGUGGGAAGGCCCAGACAGCCAGGAUGUUGGCUUAGAAGCAGCCAUCAUUUAAAGAAAGCGUAAUAGCUCACUGGUCGAGUCGGCCUGCGCGGAAGAUGUAACGGGGCUAAACCAUGCACCGAAGCUGCGGCAGCGACGCUGAUGCGUUGUUGGGUAGGGGAGCGUUCUGUAAGCCUGCGAAGGUGUGCUGUGAGGCAUGCUGGAGGUAUCAGAAGUGCGAAUGCUGACAUAAGUAACGAUAAAGCGGGUGAAAAGCCCGCUCGCCGGAAGACCAAGGGUUCCUGUCCAACGUUAAUCGGGGCAGGGUGAGUCGACCCCUAAGGCGAGGCCGAAAGGCGUAGUCGAUGGGAAACAGGUUAAUAUUCCUGUACUUGGUGUUACUGCGAAGGGGGGACGGAGAAGGCUAUGUUGGCCGGGCGACGGUUGUCCCGGUUUAAGCGUGUAGGCUGGUUUUCCAGGCAAAUCCGGAAAAUCAAGGCUGAGGCGUGAUGACGAGGCACUACGGUGCUGAAGCAACAAAUGCCCUGCUUCCAGGAAAAGCCUCUAAGCAUCAGGUAACAUCAAAUCGUACCCCAAACCGACACAGGUGGUCAGGUAGAGAAUACCAAGGCGCUUGAGAGAACUCGGGUGAAGGAACUAGGCAAAAUGGUGCCGUAACUUCGGGAGAA